rnacentral:rRNA from 1 species
UGACUGCGUACCUUUUGUAUAAUGGGUCAGCGACUUAUAUUCUGUAGCAAGGUUAACCGAAUAGGGGAGCCGGAGGGAAACCGAGUCUUAAUUGGGCGUUAAGUUGCAGGGUAUAGACCCGAAACCCGGUGAUCUAGCCAUGGGCAGGUUGAAGGUUGGGUAACACUAACUGGAGGACCGAACCGACUAAUGUUGAAAAAUUAGCGGAUGACCUGUGGCUGGGGGUGAAAGGCCAAUCAAACCGGGAGAUAGCUGGUUCUCCCCGAAAGCUAUUUAGGUAGCGCCUCGUGAAUUCAUCUCCGGGGGUAGAGCACUGUUUCGGCUAGGGGGCCAUCCCGGCUUACCAACCCGAUGCAAACUGCGAAUACCGGAGAAUGUUAUCACGGGAGACACACGGCGGGUGCUAACGUCCGUCGUGAAGAGGGAAACAACCCAGACCGCCAGCUAAGGUCCCAAAGUCAUGGUUAAGUGGGAAACGAUGUGGGAAGGCCCAGACAGCCAGGAUGUUGGCUUAGAAGCAGCCAUCAUUUAAAGAAAGCGUAAUAGCUCACUGGUCGAGUCGGCCUGCGCGGAAGAUGUAACGGGGCUAAACCAUGCACCGAAGCUGCGGCAGCGAACGUAUCACCCAAGACAACUUUACGGAGUUGACGAUUGACGGAGCGAAGCGACGUCAAAGCGUUCAUUAAAGUCGAGUUGGCUUAGGGAUACGUUCGUUGGGUAGGGGAGCGUUCUGUAAGCCUGUGAAGGUGUGUCGUGAGGCAUGCUGGAGGUAUCAGAAGUGCGAAUGCUGACAUAAGUAACGAUAAAGCGGGUGAAAAGCCCGCUCGCCGGAAGACCAAGGGUUCCUGUCCAACGUUAAUCGGGGCAGGGUGAGUCGACCCCUAAGGCGAGGCCGAAAGGCGUAGUCGAUGGGAAACGGGUUAAUAUUCCCGUACUUGGUGUUACUGCGAAGGGGGGACGGAGAAGGCUAUGUUGGCCGGGCGACGGUUGUCCCGGUUUAAGCGUGUAGGUGUGUGUUCCAGGUAAAUCCGGUU